UGUUGAUCCUAUUUUUUAUUAAUUUUUUAACAUUUUUAGGGAGUCAGUUUUCAAAACAAUGUCUAGGAUUUCAGUUAGUGGGUAUCAUCUGUAUUUGUGCCGUACUUGCGAACGGUUUUCGAUUACCAUCCGACAACGUCAACAAAGUGGCUGGCAAAGGUUUUGGGUUCUUAACCACAUUUUCCUAGUCUUGUGGCGGAUAGUCGCUGCGAUGAUAGUCCGGAUCGGAUGUCGUCCUAUCGACCGCAGCCGGACUACUAUUGCGCAAUGUUAUGCUAGAUUACACCUCUGGAAAUUGUUAUUUAAAUUCCCGCACUUGUCACGUAGACGACCGACGACGGACGACGACUCUCUGGCCAGAUGAUAAGCUAUCUCAGGCUCAUCUGAGCUAUCUGGAAUUAUUCGCAAAUGCCAGCACCUGUCGUCGCACUUUAAACUCAUUUUUUGACUGAUUCAUCCCAUUUCUUUAAACUGAAUCAGAUUCAGAUUCUGUGUUUACUUGCCAAUUGGAGAGUGAGAGGGGAGACCCUUGGCAUCUGGGUCAUCGUAAUCUGGCAGAUUGUCAAAAAAGCGAACAAAAACUGUGCCUGCAUUAUGGCAUUAUGGCUCUGCGAACGUGUUCUGCAAUUGUAAGCCAAACUCACAACUGCAGGCUGUCUGGGAAAUACUCUGUGUUCGAGCCACAAAUGGUAGAUGGCCAAGAGUUGGAGCUAGUUUUGGUCUACGAUUAGCUAAUGCCAUCAGCUAAUAUGGGUAAUGAGAGUGGAUAUGUCCCGAGGAAACUGUAGGCUAUGAUUAUACAAUAGAUCUACAGUCUCUAUUUGGUUUUUGGAAAUCAUAUAACAGAAUAUAUUACACCGAUUUGCUCAGAAAAUGAAAAUAAAAACCGGCUAACAGCAAAGGCAUUGUGCUGCGGCUCUUGGCAUUUCCAGUCACGUUGGCUCCUCGAUCUGCUAAACUUGCAAAUCCGAAGCACACAAAAAACCUGAAAAAAUUUAAUUAAUACACGCGAUCCACUCAAGAAUCGAAAGCAAAAUGCUGCCCGGACUGGCCUGGCCCCUGAGUCACGCAUUGAAUUUGUUUUACAAAGCAAUUUGUAUAAACAAAUUGCAACUGAUUCAGUCUCAGCCCAGCGAGCGAGCGAGCGAGUUUAUUCCGAAUCGCUUUCUGAUAAACAAAUAAUAUUAUUACCAUAUAUGUGGUUUGCCUUAAGACGUCAUAGCAUUUUGCCAGCAAAGAAGGCAAAUGAAACUUCCCAAAAAGAUAAGUUCCCGGGGAGAUUGCCGGACCCAUGGCCCAGCCCCAGCCCAUGUGCGAUUAAGCGAAAAAAUAAAUAUAACAAAAAAAUUAAAUAUAUAUAUAGUUACAUCCCACGCCCGACUUGACUUUAUCAUCGCUCACGCAAUGUGUUUUAUAGCGUCUUUGGGUUUCUGUUUGUUAGUUUCCUGAUUACUCCCCUCUCCUCGCAUAAUGCGCCAUUUUCCGCACGGAUGUCUGCCGGCGGAGCUUCCACAGCCGAUUUGGCCCUAACUUCCGGCAGACGAUAAUAAACUUAAGAACUGUAUCGAUCAUGCACUUUAUGGCGCCAUAAAGGCAAACAAAUUAAUCAUCCCGGGGGCGCAGUGUCAUCUGCCUGGGUGGGAUAUCUGUUCUAUGAAGAUAAGCCACAGAUCCCUGGACAAACUUGGGAGAAACCCACCACCGAUGACUUCAUGAUGGUAUCAUAAAUAAAGUCUUGCACAUUGUGGACUAAGUACACUUUAUUCAAUUUUGCAUAAAGUAAAGUGGAGAGUACAGUGGUAGCUCUGUAACUGAUUGUUGCAAGUUUUUGUAAGAGAGUACAGUGGUAACACCCGAUAGUUUUGAGAAAGGUCUUUGAAGGCCCCCUUGCGGUGCUCAUAUCUUCCACAAUUUUAAUCCGUUCCUUGAAAGGAAUGCCUCCAUAGAUUUCUAGAUCGAUUCCCUAUGAUUCUGCAUCAAAACCUGGAAACAAAAUUUUGGAUCCAUAUUUUUCAAAUUUUUCUGAUGGAGGUCCUUGUAGAUUCUAUGAUUUCCAGAUAUGGCUCCCUGCUAUGCCCAUAUCUUCUACAAUUUUCAUCCGAUCCUUGGAAAGAAUACCUUAAACGAUUACGAGAUCAAUUCCCUAUUAUUCUUCAUCAAAACUUCGCUACAAAAUUUUUGAUAGAUAUUUUUUCGAAUUUUUCUAAUGGAAAAGGCGUAUGUACGACUUCCUUAUAUGACCCCCUGGGAUGCCUUAAAAAAGAUUAAUUUGUUUCUUUGAAGGUUAACAAACUCUUAGUUUGAUUGACGCUCAAAAAUAGACUCAAUUGCUGUGUCCAUUUAUGGAGAGAUCACUGUGGGCGUAAAGCUUCUUUGUAUGUCUCGCCUGAUUCUGGCAAGGGGUGCUAUUUGGCAUCGAUGGCAGUGCUAUGCUACUAGUAUCGUUGGCUGUCGUCGCUCUGGUUACAAUCCGAGUUCAGGGACAAAAGCAGCCACGCACUUUACAAUGGGGGAGGAAUUGUGUUCUGUUCAGUCCGGAUGGGCUUUUUAUUGCGGCCACACAGUGGCGAGGAGAACUUUUAAUUAAGUUGCCAUAGUCCACCACCAUCCAUUAUCACUCGCUAUAUGCAUUACAAGGGUUGAUUUCGUUGCACAUUUCGGGACGAUUGCAUGUGUGGCAUGUGUGGGUCCUUCAAGGUGGGCUUUCGCCUCCAACUAUGCCUGCUUUGUAGGCCUUGUGUGGCACUGUACUCUGGGCCUAGGUUCAUUGACACUAAUUUGUUUUAUUCGCAAUGCUGUUUGCCCGAAGCUUUUGUGUGAGGGGGUUGGUUGGUUGGUUGGAAAUGUAAGCAAGUUUUCGGACGAUCGAUACCUAAUUUCCGGCUGCAGCCUCCGAUGGUAAUUAUUCGCGGGAGAUCCGCAUGUAUUUCCGUACACAUGUGCACGACCUUUUUGCAUUUGGCCGAAAAAAAUCGAAUAAAAAAUCGCGAUUUGCGGAGUGCAGCUGUGGAAUUGCAGGCGACGGGCAGUCUGGCAUGUCCACAAAACACGCCAAAGAAAAAAAUAAAAUAAAGUAAUAGUACAGUAAACUAUCUGACAAAGGAAAUUGUGAUCAUUGUGAUUACAUUUUUAAGCGACAAUGACACAUGGGGGCAGGGAAAUAGGGAUAUAUCAGAGAAGUCUAGAAGCUCUAAUAUAUUUUAUUAAAAUUUUUAUGAUUAUAUAUAAAAUGAUUCAUAAAUAUUUAUAUGAAAAGUAAUGAUUAAAUAUUAAUUUUAUUAUUUUUUGUAAAAACCCUGAUCCAUCCACCGCAAGUGUAAGCGAUUCAGUGGCCAGUGUCCAACUCAAUUGAGGAAAUAUCAAAUUAUGUUCGAGCCUCGUCAUCAUCACUCAUCCCGGGCCAUUGUGUCCACAACUUGUUGCAAUUAGUCAUUGCAUUAAUUCAUUGUCCCCCAUAUAGUAUAGUAGUUGAAGUAGUUCUUAUGCAGGCGAUGAUGAUAAGUCUGAAGACUGAAAGUUGCUGCCACAAUAAUGUUUCUGAUGCUUCUGGUUCGUGCAACAACUAAAAAUAAUCAAACAAGGCGCGACGGACGACCCACGCAACGAUUUCUCACUUCUGGUGUUUGCUCCAAUUUCGAAAUGUCAACAAAAAGUAUAUAGAGAGUUUAUUUUUGGUCAGCUCAGUAUAUCAUAUAUUUUAUUAGGAGUUCUAAGCAGAAGCAGGAGACCUCCUUUAAGAAAUAGUAAUUCUAAAGGAAGGCAGAGGUCUACCUUUCAUAAGAGUUCUUCAGUCUACUAGUCAUGCCUUUUAUUGACUUACCAUUUUACAUAUCCCUCAUAUAUCAUACAAGCUAUAUAUCUAUACAAUGUCUGUUUGUGGAGGCAGCCUGCACAGGUGCAUGUUUGGUUUCGAAACGAAAAACAGUCAGGUGAGUGAGACGAUCCAGACGAGCCAUCGGCGAGCGAAA